AACGAACGCUGGCGGCAUGCCUAACACAUGCAAGUCGAACGAUUGCCUUCGGGUGAUAGUGGCGCACGGGUGCGUAACGCGUGGGAAUCUGCCCUUGGGUUCGGAAUAACAGCUGGAAACGGCUGCUAAUACCGGAUGAUAUCGCGAGAUCAAAGAUUUAUCGCCUGAGGAUGAGCCCGCGUUGGAUUAGGUAGUUGGUGGGGUAAAGGCCUACCAAGCCGACGAUCCAUAGCUGGUCUGAGAGGAUGAUCAGCCACACUGGGACUGAGACACGGCCAAGACUCCGAAGGGAGGCAGCAGUGGGGAAUAUUGGACGAUGGGCGCAAGCCUGGUUCAGCAAUGCCGCGUGAGUGAUGAAGGCCCUAGGGUUGUAAAGCUCUUUUACCCGGGAAGAUAAUGACUGUACCGGGAGAAUAAGCCCCGGCUAACUCCGUGCAGCCGCCGCGGUAA
rnacentral:rRNA from 1 species